UUGAGUUGGAACUGCCGAGGAGGAGGGAAUGCUCGGACUGCUCGUGAUCUUGUGAGCUUGGUGCAAAGUUAUUCUCCUAGUAUUGUUUUCAUUUGUGAAACUAGGCAGUCGAAGGAAAGAAUGAAAAGAUAUAGAUCUCGCCUAGGGUUAAGUGGCUUUGAAGCAGUUGAUAGUGUUGGUCUUAGUGGAGGUCUUGCUCUCUAUUGGCAUGAGUCAUUGAAUCUCGAUGUAAAAUCUAUGAACGAAAGGCAUAUCGAUGCUUAUGUGAGUGGCGCGGCGGGAGAGCCCCCUUGGAGGCUUACAUGUGUCUACGGCGAGCCCCGAACGGAGGACCGACACCGCAUGUGGUCGCUUCUCCGGGACCUAUGCCACCAAGUUGACAUGCCAUGGGCAGUGAUUGGAGAUUUCAAUGAGGUCAUGUGGGGUUUUGAACAUUUUUCUGAGACUCCCCGAUCGGCAGGUCAGAUGAUUGAUUUUCGGGAUGUUUUGGAAUUAUGUGGCCUCGGUGAUCUUGGUUUUUCAGGUCUUCCAUAUACUUAUGAUAACCGGCGGUCUGGCUGA
rnacentral:rRNA from 1 species